rnacentral:rRNA from 1 species
GACCCGCGUCUGAUUAGCUAGUUGGUAAGGUAACGGCUUACCAAGGCGACGAUCAGUAGCCGACCUGAGAGGGUGAUCGGCCACAUUGGAACUGAGACACGGUCCAAACUCCUACGGGAGGCAGCAGUGGGGAAUAUUGCACAAUGGGCGAAAGCCUGAUGCAGCAACGCCGCGUGAGUGAUGAAGGCCUUCGGGUCGUAAAACUCUGUCCUCAAGGAAGAUAAUGACGGUACUUGAGGAGGAAGCCCCGGCUAACUACGUGCCAGCAGCCGCGGUAAUACGUAGGGGGCUAGCGUUAGCCGGAUUUACUGGGCGUAAAGGGUGCGUAGGCGGUCUUUCAAGUCAGGAGUGAAAGGCUACGGCUCAACCGUAGUAAGCUCUUGAAACUGGGAGACUUGAGUGCAGGAGAGGAGAGUGGAAUUCCUAGUGUAGCGGUGAAAUGCGUAGAUAUUAGGAGGAACACCAGUUGCGAAGGCGGCUCUCUGGACUGUAACUGACGC